GUUAAGCGACUAAGCGUACACGGUGGAUGCCCUGGCAGUCAGAGGCGAUGAAGGGCGUGCUAAUCUGCGAUAAGCGCCGGUAAGGUGAUAUGAACCGUUAUAACCGGCGAUACCCGAAUGGGGAAACCCAGUGUGAUUCGUCACACUAUCAUUAACUGAAUCCAUAGGUUAAUGAGGCGAACCGGGGGAACUGAAACAUCUAAGUACCCCGAGGAAAAGAAAUCAACCGAGAUUCCCCCAGUAGCGGCGAGCGAACGGGGAGGAGCCCAGAGCCUGAAUCAGCAUGUGUGUUAGUGGAAGCGUCUGGAAAGGCGCGCGAUACAGGGUGACAGCCCCGUACACAAAAGCGCAUAUGCUGUGAGCUCGAUGAGUAGGGCGGGACACGUGGUAUCCUGUCUGAAUAUGGGG
rnacentral:rRNA from 1 species